rnacentral:lncRNA from 13 species
AUGAACUCACAGAAAAUCUGAAUGACUUUCCAGAAGGUACUCAGCCAGUUAGUGUUACAACCAGACUUGAUUUCUGCCCAAGAAAAGGAAGGUGUGAUUCAGCUUCUCUACUCUAUGGACCACACACUUAACAUGUAAUUUCACUUGGCCUUUACAACAGUCCUGCAAGAGCAGGUGUUUGUGAAGUCAGUCCUUAAAAUCACAUCUGUUCACCUUAUGUGAUGGGAAGGAGAGGAAACAUCUGAAACAGGGUGAUUGAAAUGGAAAUACAUUCAAAUAAAUGGACUCUGCAGUUCCACUUUGUUCUAAAUAACCUCUACUAGAUCAAGACAUAAGCUGUGUGGGCCUCCAGUUGUACUGUUGCCCCGAAACCUGCAAAUGUGUAACCCUGGGAUAGCAGGACUCAGUCCGCUCAUUUGUAAGCUGAAGAUCACUAUCUCUCAGGCUGUGAUGAGAAUUGAUAAUGCUUGUCAAAGCACUUCAUAAAUUAUGAGGCACUACCUCAAUAUAAUUCACACAGCAUUAUUCAUCUCAAGGAACAAGAAAGUUGAACACUACUUCUCCUUCCCCAAAACAAGGAAAUGCCUUACAGUUGUGUGCAAGAUCUUUGCAAUCAAAUCCCUCCCUUGCUUAAUACCCACUUUAGCUAUUGAUAAUAUUGGGGGCAAUAACUCUCUGAACCUCAUGCUCUGCCAUUUCUCAGAAGUCAUAUCUCUAUUUUUUUCAGUUGCCUCAAAACCAUUAAUUAGUGAAGAAGUAUAUAUUGGAUGCAGUAAUUUUCUAAUAAAAACCAUGGGUUUCAGAAGGAGUGGUUGCAGGCUGAUCAAAAUGUAAUAUUAUGCUUCCUAUAAUCAUGGUGGGUCAUUUGGUUAGUAUCAAAAUUUAGACUUUAAUUUCUGCCAUGGCUGAAAGGAAAUUUCAGACAAAUGUGGCAGAGACUCUGGAGGCUCCAUACGCCAUAGGUGUUUAAUCAUCAGGCAUGCUCUUGGGGAAUAACAUUGAUGGCUGGCCAAGCCGGUGUCUACAGAUGGGGAAAACCUAGUAGCAGGGAGAGGCAGGUUAGAGGAUAUCAAAAUCUGGACAAGCUCCAAAGAAAAUCUCAUCUCUCAUUUCACACCUUUGCUGUUUGCUGUCAGUCUCUCCCCAGAAAGCAUUAUUACUUUGCAGUGCUCAACAGGGGUUGAUGGGCAACCUCGACGUUUCCCCUCAGCUUCACUGCCUUGCGAAUGGACUUCUUCAUUAAAGAUCACACAGCAGUUCUCCUGGAUUAAUGGGCGUAAAUACAGCUACCCAAAGAGGGGAAACGCUUUCCUGUCCAUGAAGAUAUUACGUCCAAGAGACUAAAGGAAAACCUGUUAAUGGAGAAUCACACUUUGGUUUAAUUACACAGAUGCUAAAAUAACGUAACUGAAGCGCCUCAGAAAUACAUUUAUGCACCAUGCAAUGCUUCAGAGCAUGCUUUAUCUUUUUAUGUUUAGUGUACAUGAUCAAGAAAGAGCCAACAAAAGAAUCAUUUCUGAGUAAUUUGGGGAACUGGGACAGGUUUGGGUUUGAAAGAUGUUUCACAAAGUGUCUUGCAUUUGGAAGGAAUCAUCAAAGGUGUUUUGUGAGCAAUUAUACGUAAAAUCCUUUCUUUACCUGUAUGUUCUUCAAAGGCACCUUGGAUUAAACUAAAUAAUAAAUUUUAGGGAAGCUUGAAACUGUGUCCA